UACGGAGGGUGCAAGCGUUAUCCGGAUUCACUGAGUUUAAAGGGUGCGUAGGCGGAUAUGUAAGUCCGUGGUGAAAUCUCUGGGCUUAACCCGGAAACUGCCAUGGAUACUAUGUGUCUUGAAUGUUGUUGAGGUGAGCGGAAUAUGUCAUGUAGCGGUGAAAUGCUUAGAUAUGACAUAGAACACCAAUUGCGAAGGCAGCUCACUAAGCAAAUAUUGACGCUGAGGCACGAAAGCGUGGGGAUCAAACAGGA
rnacentral:rRNA from 1 species